GGAGGACCCAGGAACCAGAUGUCUGUUGCGCUGGGCACCGUUUGGCAACACACUGGCUGAUGCUUUAACAAGUACUUAGAAGCCCAGAAACAUGGUUCCUUGCUGUCUCCAGGCCCUGUCUAAGGUUCCCGGAGCCCCUGUCCUCAGCGGAAGAAGAGGAAAGAACCUGUUUCCAGCCACCAUCUUGGUAGCGUGCAGGCAGAGACAGCAGGAACCAGGGCAAGCCUCUCAGGGUUCUGGAACCCAGGUGGAGGAGACCCUGACUCCCCAGUUGAGCAGAAUUAAGACAGAUGUUUCUGCGACCCACUGCUUACAGGAGUUCCCAGCCACGAGGCUAGAGUGACCUAUGUGACUACUUUCCUGAAUUCUCAUUGGGAUAAGGCUCUGCCCUUUGCAGAAGUGACUCCUGUCCCAGCAAGCCAAGGGUCUCUCAGUGGCCUGGACUUCAUUCACCAUGUAAGCUGGCCGUCGGGUCCUAGGGAGCUGCCUCUCUCUGUGCCCUCAGUGCUGACUUUACAAUGCAAUUCGCUUGCCUGUUUUUCAUGGAUCCAGAGGAUCCUCCCUAAAUCUUUACCAUAACAAGUUCUCUCUCCAGCCCCCACUGCCUAAAUCUUUAUCAUUUUUAUCCUUUAGUUGUUGACAGGUGCAUGCAUCUCUAGAUUUGACUUGUUUUCUUCCCUACAAUACUUUGGGUCGUCAGAAAAUCCUUCCAGGCCUUUUCUUGUUAGGGUGGCAUGAUGCUAUAGGUAGGCUUUAGUGUAUUCUUGAGAACAAAAUAAAGAAAACCAUCAACCUGUACUAGCAAGGGGUCCAACGUCGAGCUGUGACCUGACAGCCUUGAGAGUGGCUAAGGCAGAGUGACCACAGCCAUUCCUCUCUUUAAAGUUCCAAUGUGACACUUCUUUGAAUCUUCGCCCUGCACAGCCCCCUAACCAGGCCACCCCUCUUGCUUCCUAGGGCUAGGAAAAUAGGGUGUAAGUGUCCGUUGGACCUGGAUUAAAGCUCUGCCUAGUACAUCGGCACAAUGAUGGGGCUACUUUGAAAAUAGGAAAUGGAUCACAGUAUUGCACACAAGAGGUCAAAACUAGUAAACGCUCAGAAGAGGGGCUGGCGAGAUGGAAAACCUGGUGAAGUAUGAAGACCUGAGCUCAUUUCUGGGACCCACAGAGUGGAGGAGAGAACUGACCCCUGCAAGCUGAGCCCUCUGACUGUCACACAUGUCUGUGCAUGAGUGUGUCCCUUCUAAAUAAAAUGUAAUAAAAAAUUUAAAUGCUU
rnacentral:lncRNA from 1 species